rnacentral:tRNA from 1 species
GCGCUUUGGCGAGGCAGUGCUGAUCGACUGCCACUCGAUGCCGCACGAGGCGCUGGACGGUUCCGCCCGUCACGGUGCAC